UCUGGCUGCUGUUGACCUUGUUUUUGGAGUAAAACACUGUGGAAGCUGACUUAGUGAGGAUGACUCCUGCUCCUGUCAUCUCUAAGCUCCUCACACAUCUUUACCUGCACAUGAGGAAAAUCACUCCUGUAGAAUGCAGGGUGGAUCCUACCUAGACCAGGCUGAUCCUGGACCAUCCCACAGAUGCUCAAUCAGAUGUGGAUGUGGGGAGUGUGGAACCCAGAUGUUCAGAGGGAGAUGAUGCCACAUCUGGUCCAGCCGAUGGAAGGUCUUGAAGUUCUCUGACUGGCCUCGACUGAAGAUGGUCGUCUCACUGGAUUUAAGGUUCAGAUGCUCAGUAACAAACUCCACCAAUGAGCCAACAGGGAAGCUUUAGGUUUA
ensembl:lncRNA